CUGUGAAGUCAAAGUCUGCAGGGACAGAGGAAGCUGCUAACUGGGAGCCGCAGGGGAGGAGAGAUUCGCGGCGGGAUCCCAGAGGCAUUUCCAAGAAGCAGAUGCCAAAAUACGAUUACCCAGGAAGCCUGGUAUUCUUCCCAAGGUGUUAAGUUCUCUCACCUUUCUGGUCAUUUUCUUACGGAUGUGCCCCAGUUUAUCAAUGCCUCUCUCAAAAGGAAAACCAUGUGUGUAAACUGCCCAUCGAGACUGUCAUGUGCAAAGGAACUGUUGAUAUCUCUGGAUAACAUCAUCAAGGACGUGAUGCCUGCUGACUGCAAUGUGAGUGAGUUUGGAAGUAAAUCUUUCUUCAGCUGAGCUGAGAUGAUGGUAGCUCCAGCACAUACCCUGAUUACAGCUUUUUUACAGGGCACAGUGGCGGUCCUCAAAUAUUUGAAAGUCUAUUAUGUGGAAGAAGGAUUAGACCCAGGCUUCUCAAGAAAGCGAAGAGUCAAUGUCUAAGAAUUAACGUGAACCAACUUCCAGCUCAAUUUAAUGAUAAACUUUCUAAUCCUGAGACCUGCCUGACAAUGUAUAUGGGUGUUUUGAGGAGUAAGCUCACUGUGCAUUUUCAAGGACAAACAAGAGAAUCAGGAGCUAGGAAUGUGGGUUUUUUUUGUUUUUUGAUUUUUUUGGCAAGGAGGUUGGCAUAGGUGACUUUCUGAGUCCCUUAAAAUUCCUGUUUCUCUGAUUCUAACAGCUUUUUAAAAUAUCGUGUGGAAUAUGAAAAGAGAGUUUGUAUGUUAAGGACCAUACAGUCUAAAUCAGAUGUAAACAAAAUGAUGGCUAAGAGCAACGCAACUAAGAUGUAUAGAUAUGAAUGCUACACACAAAAGAAUAAGGCAUUAUUUGCAAAGAAAUCAUUUUUAAGGACAGAUUUUGCCUGUAGCUACAGCCUUAAAAUUGAAUUGUUCAUAUUACUACAGGGCUCAAAUGGCUCAUUCAUUCUCUUAUGCUUCAAUGGGUUUUCCUUAAAUAAAACUCUUUACUCUUUAAAAUGUCUUUCUAACAUUUGUUUUCUUAUUUGUGGACAGCCAGAUAUAUAUGUAUAUGUGUAUAUGAUAGUCCAGAAAUUUAUCAAACUGGCACUCACUCAAUAAAAACAAAAUAAAUCAACAUCCUAAUAAUGUGAGAGAUAUAUU